rnacentral:tRNA from 1 species
UACCCCGUGGUGUAAUCGGUAACACUAGGGAUUUUGAUUCCCUCAUUCCAGGUUCAAGUCCUGGCGGGGUAGC